rnacentral:rRNA from 1 species
CCGCGGUAAUACGGAGGGUGCAAGCGUUAAUCGGAAUUACUGGGCGUAAAGCGCACGCAGGCGGUCUGUCAAGUCGGAUGUGAAAUCCCCGGGCUCAACCUGGGAACUGCAUUCGAAACUGGCAGGCUAGAGUCUUGUAGAGGGGGGUAGAAUUCCAGGUGUAGCGGUGAAAUGCGUAGAGAUCUGGAGGAAUACCGGUGGCGAAGGCGGCCCCCUGGACAAAGACUGACGCUCAGGUGCGAAAGCGUGGGGAGCAAACAGGAUUAGAUACCCUGGUAGUCCACGCCGUAAACGAUGUCGAUUUGGAGGUUGUGCCCUUGAGGCGUGGCUUCCGGAGCUAACGCGUUAAAUCGACCGCCUGGGGAGUACGGCCGCAAGGUUAAAACUCAAAUGAAUUGACGGGGGCCCGCACAAGCGGUGGAGCAUGUGGUUUAAUUCGAUGCAACGCGAAGAACCUUACCUGGUCUUGACAUCCACAGAACUUUCCAGAGAUGGAUUGGUGCCUUCGGGAACUGUGAGACAGGUGCUGCAUGGCUGUCGUCAGCUCGUGUUGUGAAAUGUUGGGUUAAGUCCCGCAACGAGCGCAACCCUUAUCCUUUGUUGCCAGCGGUCCGGCCGGGAACUCAAAGGAGACUGCCAGUGAUAAACUGGAGGAAGGUGGGGAUGACGUCAAGUCAUCAUGGCCCUUACGACCAGGGCUACACACGUGCUACAAUGGCAUAUACAAAGAGAAGCGACCUCGCGAGAGCAAGCGGACCUCAUAAAGUAUGUCGUAGUCCGGAUUGGAGUCUGCAACUCGACUCCAUGAAGUCGGAAUCGCUAGUAAUCGUAGAUCAGAAUGCUACGGUGAAUACGUUCCCGGGCCUUGUACACACCGCCCGUCACACCAUGGGAGUGGGUUGCAAAAGAAGUAGGUAGCUUAACCUUCGGGAGGGCGCUUACCACU